UUUAUUUAUUUUUAUUUAAUUUUUUACAUCUUCUAGGUAAGAGAGAUCUCGCUGGAACCUGCCCGGAAAGAAGGGGAGAAGAGAAAGGAAAAGAAAAAGAAAUUUGACCAAAGGGUGGACCAACCGCCUCUGCCCUCCAGGCCUCUAUACCUGAGAUGCUCCAAACCAAACAUUUUAAAGUGCUUAUGAAGUAAGGUGGUGGCUCUCCCUCCCCGAAUACGGACGGAGUGCCGCAAAGAGGGUCCUUGUGGCGCCCUCUACAUCCUGAGGGUAGGUACAAAUACGGUGAAAUCUGAUCAGUUGUGAUUUUAUUAGACCUCGGAAAGUAUGUUUGGGAUGAUAGCUAGUUUUGUGAAGGAGGGCAUGUCUAUCAGUGUCUUUGAAAUAGACUUUGGUGGCUAAUUUCUUAGUAUGCUCCAUAUAUUUGCAGAAGAAGACCUUCGUGUCCAGAAAUUCAACUUUCUCAAACUGUAAAUUGUGUUUCAAUUUGAUUUUCGGGUGAUGAGAGUUUAACACAGUUAGGAAUUCCUUAAAGGAUUCCACUGAACUGGUCCAGAUACCGAAAAUAUCGCCGAGGUACCGGAGAUACAGCAGAGGUAAGUUUUUACAUUUGAGAAAGGCAGUCCUUUCCCAUUCUGCGAGGUAUA